UACGUAGGGUGCGAGCGUUAAUCGGAAUUACUGGGCGUAAAGCGUGCGCAGGCGGUUUUGUAAGCCAGAUGUGAAAUCCCCGGGCUUAACCUGGGAAUGGCAUUUGGGACUGCAAGGCUUGAGUGCGGCAGAGGAGACUGGAAUUCCUGGUGUAGCAGUGAAAUGCGUAGAUAUCAGGAGGAACACCGAUGGCGAAGGCAGGUCUCUGGGCAGUAACUGACGCUGAGGAGCGAAAGCAUGGGGAGCGAACAGG
rnacentral:rRNA from 1 species